rnacentral:lncRNA from 1 species
CGGGGACCCUACAGGGCUCUCGCUCUGGGUAGUCUGGCCCUGACUUCUGAGUCACGGGGAAGGCGGGCGAAAGGUCACGGGGCAGUGGGAGGAAGCCCAGGUCCCAGGUUUGUGGUCUUCAGAUGAGGGCAGCUCUGAGAACGGUGGGGGCCCGACUGUGGCCCCGGCGGGGACACCCCAGAAAUUCAGUGUGGAAUUGGGGACGAGCGGGCUCUCUUCUUGGAUUUGAGGAUGUCAGGCACCUCUUUCAUUUUCUUGCUUCAGAGAGUAUGCCUAGACCCAACGGGUGGCAAUUCCUGGUGUUAAUCACUGAAAGGAGGUAGAACGUUUUUCCCCACCAGAGGAGGCAGCGACCACGUCUCCUCUAUGGAGGCAUUCAAGAGCCGUCCAGCUGAAGCAGCAUCAUUGUCUGGGCUUGGAAGGCACAAUCCAUACAGGUCUGCAUGGUCCACCAGAGCUCCACACCCACGGGGCCAGCCGGGGCGCUCUUCUGAAGCAGGGUCUCGCUCUGUUGCCGAGGCUGGAUCACAGCUCACUGCAACCUUGAACUCUACCUCAAGCAGUCCUCCCCACUCUGCCUUCCAAAGCACUAGCAUUACAGGCCUAAGCCACCACCCCCAUCCACUGAAGUGUAAACUAUCUCCUUCACGUUUCCAGUAGCUGCAGAGCAGAUCAGGGAUUGAGAGAAAGUAUGAUUUAUGGUGGCAGAGAUAAAUGAAACAUCCAAGGGCAGCCCCGCGUUGCCCCAACUCCUGAUUCUCUUCCAUCUGUUCGUAUGUGUUGUCAUCAAAGAAAUAAUAUUUUGAAGAGAACUUUGGAAUUGAGAAGAUGUCUUGCAACGUUGUCUAAGGAAAGUUACUUACUUCAAAGUCAUAACCUCCCCAAAGUCUUCUUCUGGAAGACUGUACUUUUAGCUUUCACAUUAAAGCUUGUGAUCUAACUUGCAUAUUUUGUACUUUUGUGAAAUAGAAGUCAAGGUUCAUGUUUCCCACCCCCCCCCGAAAGGGAUGUCCCAG